GUAGGUGAACCUGCGGAAGGAUCAUUCACGCAUGCUUUAUGCAUAAUCCAAUUUACAACCCAGUUUAUAUUCUGAUGGUAGAUCUCAAUUUGUAUGUUGUUGUCCACCUUAAGCCUAACCACAGCCACCAUUGGUGGAGAAGGAUAGCGCCUUAAAGUUGCGUGCACACAUGCAAACUGGUUCAAUCAUCAGCUUUGCUUCUUUAUAUUUUUUAUCAUAUUAAUCAUGCUUCUUUAAAAUUAAAGAAAAUUCUCGACGAUGGAUAUCUGGGUUCCCAUACCGAUGAAGAACGCAGCGAACUGCGAUACGCAAUGCGAAUAGCAGAAUUCCGCGAGACAUUAGAUCUUUGAACGCAAAUGGCGCUGGCUUGCCAGCAUGUUUGUUUCAGUGUGUAUGGAGAGUAUUCUCAUCACCUUAACAGAAUGCGAUUGAAGCCUUCUAGUAGGGUUUCUCUCGUUAAAUAAGAUGUAGUGAGGUUUGUGCAACCUCCGAGACGAAGUAGUCACAUCAUUGAGUGUGAUCUCGCCUUCGGAUUAAAGAUUGCCAAAUAUACUUCACUCAGAAUUAAAAUUAAUCUCCUAUUUCGACACCUGAAAUCAAGCAAGGCUACCCGCUGAACUUAAGCAUAUCAGUA
rnacentral:rRNA from 1 species